UACGUAGGGUGCGAGCGUUAAUCGGAAUUACUGGGCGUAAAGCGUGCGCAGGCGGUUCGCUAAGACCGAUGUGAAAUCCCCGGGCUUAACCUGGGAACUGCAUUGGUGACUGGCGGGCUAGAGUAUGGCAGAGGGGGGUAGAAUUCCACGUGUAGCAGUGAAAUGCGUAGAGAUGUGGAGGAAUACCGAUGGCGAAGGCAGCCCCCUGGGCCAAUACUGACGCUCAUGCACGAAAGCGUGGGGAGCAAACAGG
rnacentral:rRNA from 2 species